rnacentral:rRNA from 1 species
AGAGUUUGAUCCUGGCUCAGGACGAACGCUGGCGGCGUGCCUAAUACAUGCAAGUCGAGCGGAUCCCUUCGGGUUCGAGCGGCGGACGGGUGAGUAACACGUGGGUAACCUGCCUGAUAGACCGGGAUAACGCUUGGAAACGAGUGCUAAUACCGGAUAGGCUCUUGAGGUGCAUGCUUCGAGAGGGAAAGAGGCUUUUG